UGCUAGCUAAUUACAUUUUUUUUAAUGGCAAAUGUUACUUCUACUAUAAAUUAUACCAAUAAAUCUACGUUACACCAUUGCCUAGAUUUGAACCUAGGACCUCCCCUCCAAGAGACACAAGCCUCUACCAAGUAGGCUACCCCACAUUGGCGCUAGCUAAUUACAUGAUAUCCGUGUUUUCUUAAGUUGUUCUUAGUUAUGCAGGACAAAUAAGUUAAUGAAAAUUGACUUAUAUCCGGUUCUGAAUCCAUCUGCAAUUUAGAAUACGAUUCAGCUUUGUACUAUACUUUAGAGACUGAAAAUGACUUUGGUUUUCCUUGUUAAAGUUCUUUUUUUGCAACAUAUGUCAUAACUCUGUAUAGUUCUGCAGGUGCAACUUAGGUCCCGAACACGAGUUCUCUAGCUGUAACUUAGGUCCUGGACGCGUGUCGCGUGGUGUUGCUCUAUGUACGGCCAAAUAAGUUAUAUAUGCAACAAAAAGUUGUAUCUUUGCCAUCUCUUUUACGUAUCAGAUGGAGCAUUUAACUUUAUUGUUGAAAUUUGGAAUAAUGGAUUUUAA
rnacentral:lncRNA from 1 species